UUUCAAUCUGAAGUGAAACUUGAGGAAGAUUCAGAAGCUCUUAAAUGGAUCCAGAUUGAGUGAUUGCACAGCAAUAUGAUCUCAAUCAAGUUGGAAAGCAGAUUGUGUGGAUUCUGAUACCCUGACCUAAAGACAAUUCAGUACCUAGUACUUGUCGGGUAUUCAGAUUCCAACUGGAUAAUUUUGGCUCUGUUACGAGGGACAAGCCAAUUUGGUUGCUUAGAGUUACUACAAAGGAGAAGGUUAUGAAGAUGAUGGAAACAGAAUCUUCAAGUUUAGGACUCUACAUCUUACGGGACUCAACGACCUUCAUGAUUUAACUAAAGCACCAUUGACGAGACUCGGGUUCAG
rnacentral:lncRNA from 1 species